rnacentral:misc_RNA from 1 species
AACGCACAUUGCGCCCCUUGGUAUUCCAUGGGGCAUGCCUGUUCGAGCGUCAUUUGUACCUUCAAGCUCUGCUUGGUGUUGGGUGUUUGUCUCGCCUUUGCGUGUAGACUCGCCUUAAAACAAUUGGCAGCCGGCAUGUUAGCCUGGAGCGCAGCACAUAUUGCGCCUCAUGCUAGCGAAUGUUGGCCCCCAUCAAGUCCAUUUAUUUGCUCUUGACCUCGGAUCAGGUAGGGAUACCCGCUGAACUUAA